rnacentral:rRNA from 1 species
AUUGAACGCUGGCGGCAGGCCUAACACAUGCAAGUCGAGCGAGCGGCGGACGGGUGAGUAAUGUCUGGGAAACUGCCUGAUGGAGGGGGAUAACUCCUGGAAACGGUAGCUAAUAACGCAUACCAUCAGAUGUGCCCAAAUGGGAUUAGCUAGUAGGUGGGGUAACGGCGCACCUAGGAGACGAUCCCUAGCUGGUAUGAGAGGAUGACCAGCCACACUGGAACUGAGAAACGGUCCAGACUCCUAAGGUAGGAAGCAGUGGGGAAUAUUGCACAAGGGGCGCAAGCCUGAUGCAGCCAUGCCGCGUGUAUGAAGAAGGCCUUCGGGUUGUAAAGUACUUUCAGCGGGGAGGCGUUACCCGCAGAAGAAGCACCGGCUAACUCCGUGCCAGCAGCCGCGGUAAUUC